AGCAGCUGAGGUAAAUUGGUGAACUAGUUAUAAACUCACAGACGCUGUAUGGAUUCAUUGUCUUCUCUAUUGAAACGGUCUAAAUCACCGGGAUUUGGGAAUCGACACUGUAGUUCAACUCCCAUUCUUUUGAUUCGGCACCCGUGAAGAGCAAACUAAAGGGGUAUUAGUAAGUAACGCAGCGGGGCCAAGCAGGGCUGAUUUGGACUUCCGAGGGCCCAGGAGGUUAAGAUUUCCCUCAGACAUGCUCCGCACCACUCUUCUGCUCGGCUCGUUCUCGGAUGAUCCUGGAACAGAACAAAAUCAAGUCAAAGAACAGUGAAGAUGAGCUCUUUUGAAGCUGAACCCUGUGCGUUUGAUGCUCUCUGAUAGAAAACAGACGUACGUCACAGCUGGAGCCGUCUAGAAAACACCAGCUACUCUGAAGGAGAGUUACCUUCGGGUCAGCGAGCGUGUUGAUGACAUUGCCCAGUGCAAGCAGAGAGCGGUUGAUGUUGGCUCCCUC